AGCUGAAACCAGGAGUCAGAUGCUUAGCUGACUGCGCCACCCACACGCCCCUAAAACAGGAAGAAAUGCAGUCCUGGGACUGCGGUGCCUUGGAAGCCAUGGGGAAAGCUGGAGGCGUGGAAAUCAUGGAUCCUACUGUUCGCUCCAGGUUUACUGCCUCCAAGAAGCAGAGUCACUGCCACCCGGAGUCGGGACCUGCCGACCGUGUGGCUGGUGGCUUCCCAGCUUCCCUCAGCUCCGAGUGGCUGAAGUGACAGGAGGACAAAGAGGCUGUGACAAGGACACGUCGGGAAGCUCACCUCGCCGCCUGCCAGACAGACAACGCCUGCAUCCUCUCUUCUCCCUCCGGGGCCUUGCGCAGUCUCGCUGAGCCCGGGACGCUCAGGUUUAGGUCGUUAGACAGGACCUGCUUGGACAGUACGGCGAGUGUCGCUCCGUGGAUGUGGCUGGGGCCUUUCCUCACCGUGCCAGCCGGGGGCACACAGAGCUUGUUGCUGCUCUGAGGAAGCCCACAAUAAAACAGGUAAAGAAGGAAGUCUGGGGUGCAAGACUGGUUUGCAGUUUGCAAUUCUCUUCUUCCACUGGUUCUUCAGGGAGUUGAGUAAAAAUAAUUUUUAUGUUCUUCACAUUUUCAAGGAAUGCAUCAUUUAAGCAGGUGGCCAACAGACACAUGAAAAAGUGAUGCACUUCACUCGGCAUCAGGGAAAUACAAAUCAAAACCACAAUGAGAUACCACCUUACACCAGUCAGAAUGGCUAAAAUUAACAAGUCAGGAAAUGACACAUGCUGG